rnacentral:rRNA from 1 species
CGCUAGCUACAGGCUUAACACAUGCAAGUCGAGGGGAAACGACAUCGAAAGCUUGCUUUUGAUGGGCGUCGACCGGCGCACGGGUGAGUAACGCGUAUCCAACCUGCCCACCACUUGGGGAUAACCUUGCGAAAGUAAGACUAACACCCAAUGAUAUCUCUAGAAGACAUCUGAAAGAGAUUAAAGAUUUAUCGGUGACGGAUGGGGAUGCGUCUGAUUAGCUUGUUGGCGGGGUAACGGCCCACCAAGGCGACGAUCAGUAGGGGUUCUGAGAGGAAGGUCCCCCACAUUGGAACUGAGACACGGUCCAAACUCCUACGGGAGGCAGCAGUGAGGAAUAUUGGUCAAUGGACGAGAGUCUGAACCAGCCAAGUAGCGUGCAGGAUGACGGCCCUAUGGGUUGUAAACUGCUUUUAUAAGGGAAUAAAGUGAGUCUCGUGAGACUUUUUGCAUGUACCUUAUGAAUAAGGACCGGCUAAUUCCGUGCCAGCAGCCGCGGUAAUACGGAAGGUCCGGGCGUUAUCCGGAUUUAUUGGGUUUAAAGGGAGCGUAGGCCGGAGAUUAAGCGUGUUGUGAAAUGUAGAUGCUCAACAUCUGCACUGCAGCGCGAACUGGUUUCCUUGAGUACGCACAAAGUGGGCGGAAUUCGUGGUGUAGCGGUGAAAUGCUUAGAUAUCACGAAGAACUCCGAUUGCGAAGGCAGCUCACUGGAGCGCAACUGACGCUGAAGCUCGAAAGUGCGGGUAUCGAACAGGAUUAGAUACCCUGGUAGUCCGCACGGUAAACGAUGGAUGCCCGCUGUUGGUCUGAAUAGGUCAGCGGCCAAGCGAAAGCAUUAAGCAUCCCACCUGGGGAGUACGCCGGC